UGAACGCUGGCGGCGUGCCUACUACAUGCAAGUCGAGCGAACAGACGCGGAGCUUGCUCCUCUGACGUUAGCGGCGGACGGGUGAGUAACACGUGGAUAACCUACCUAUAAGACUGGGAUAACUUCGGGAAACCGGAGCUAAUACCGGAUAAUAUAUUGAACCGCAUGGUUCAAUAGUGAAAGACGGUUUUGCUGUCACUUAUAGAUGGAUCCGCGCCGCAUUAGCUAGUUGGUAAGGUAACGGCUUACCAAGGCAACGAUGCGUAGCCGACCUGAGAGGGUGAUCGGCCACACUGGAACUGAGACACGGUCCAGACUCCUACGGGAGGCAGCAGUAGGGAAUCUUCCGCAAUGGGCGAAAGCUUGACGGAGCAACGCCGCGUGAGUGAUGAAGGUCUUCGGAUCGUAAAACUCUGUUAUUAGGGAAGAACAAAUGUGUAAGUAACUAUGCACGUCUUGACGGUACCUAAUCAGUAAGCCACGGCUAACUACGUG
rnacentral:rRNA from 1 species